UACGAAGGGGGCUAGCGUUGCUCGGAAUCACUGGGCGUAAAGGGCGCGUAGGCGGAUCGUUAAGUCGGGGGUGAAAUCCCGAGGCUCAACCUCGGAACUGCCUUCGAUACUGGCAAUCUUGAGUCCGGGAGAGGUGAGUGGAACUGCGAGUGUAGAGGUGAAAUUCGUAGAUAUUCGCAAGAACACCAGUGGCGAAGGCGGCUCACUGGCCCGGUACUGACGCUGAGGUGCGAAAGCGUGGGGAGCAAACAGG
rnacentral:rRNA from 1 species